AUUGAACGCUGGCGGCAGGCCUAACACAUGCAAGUAGAACGAGUGGCGGACGGGUGAGUAAUGGCUGGGAAACUGACUGAUGGAGGGGGAUAACUACUGGAAAAGGUAGCUAAUACCGAAUACAAUCAGAUGUGCCCAGAUGGGAUUAGCUUGGUGGUGGGGUAACGGCUCACCAAGGCGAAGAUCCCUAGCUGGUCUGAGAGGAUGACCAGCCACACUGGAACUGAGACACGGUCCAGACUCCUACGGGAGGCAGCAGUGGGGAAUAUUGCACAAGGGGCGCAAGCCUGAGGCAGCCAUGCCGCGUGUAUGAAGAAGGCCUUCGGGUUGUAAAGUACUUUAAGCGGGGAGGCGUUACCCGCAGAAGAAGCACCGGCUAACUCCGUGCCAGCAGCCGCGGUAAUUC
rnacentral:rRNA from 1 species